AGAGUUUGAUCCUGGCUCAGAUUGAACGCUGGCGGAAUGCUUUACACAUGCAAGUCGAACGGCAGCACGGGUGCUUGCACCUGGUGGCGAGUGGCGAACGGGUGAGUAAUGCGUCGGAACGUACCGAGUAAUGGGGGAUAACGCAGCGAAAGUUGUGCUAAUACCGCAUACGCCCUGAGGGGGAAAGUGGGGGACCGCAAGGCCUCACGUUAUUCGAGCGGCCGACGUCUGAUUAGCUAGUUGGUGGGGUAAAGGCCUACCAAGGCGACGAUCAGUAGCGGGUCUGAGAGGAUGAUCCGCCACACUGGGACUGAGACACGGCCCAGACUCCUACGGGAGGCAGCAGUGGGGAAUUUUGGACAAUGGGGGCAACCCUGAUCCAGCCAUUCCGCGUGAGUGAAGAAGGCCUUCGGGUUGUAAAGCUCUUUCAGCUGGAACGAAACGGUACGCGCUAAC
rnacentral:rRNA from 1 species